GAGAUUCGUCUAGCAGUUGACUUUGACUGUAUGUGCACAGAAUAAAAAAAUAUAUCGCGUAAACUCGCAAGGCGAACCUUGUUCGCGUUCCGUUCAGUGGUGCUCUUCGCGUAGAGAAAUUACCCAAAUUUUGGUUUCAAAGUGAAUAUUGUUCUCGUUUUUGUUAGCACAGUUCGAUUAAAAUUGUGAUAAAAAGUUUAUCGAAGUAAAAGUAGUUGUUUUACGUGCUAUUCUGCUGAAGAAUACGGUGCCAUUGUUUUUCUCGUUGGAUUUCCCCGUUUCGCGAAAAGCUGCCUUUCAAUUUUUUUUGCCAAUAUACCGAUCGACUGAAAAGAAAACCCUGCCUCAAGAAAAGCAGGCAAAGUGAGACGAGAUCAGUGUUUCUGUGGUGCUGUAAAAUUUUGAUCGUAGGCCCUCAGGGAAGAAGUAUCUGUUUUUUCUUGUUCGCUAUGAGUUUGGCCUCUGCUUCAAGCCAUCAAAGAAAAUCGACAAAAUAGUGAUUGAAGAAAAAAAAUAGUGGCAUACAGUUCAAGGAUUAUUAUUGCUGUUGCUGUGAAGAAGCUCAUCAUCGUUGCACAAUUGCAGAAUGUGGUUACCCAGCGACAACAAUGUGACGUACAGGGUGUAAGUGUGCUCAUACAAGCCCAAAUGAGCGCAGCAACGUAGCCGCUUACAUCGAUUCAUCUGAAAAAGUGGUGAAAUCAUCAGCACUCUUAUUUGCGCACUGGUUUAUCGCCGCACACUUCACACAACAACCCACGCAUAGCGACAGAGUAGGGCGGCACGACAAUUAUUAUCCAAUCAGCAGAAAAUUUCCACCAUCGCCGACGGCGUAGUAUGCAACUGCACUCAGAAACCACCUGGCGACUCAGCAGAAGGAGAAAAAAACUAGUUGCACGCGGCAACGCUUUCCCUAUUAGAGUUUUCAAUAGGACACCAAUCUGCUCUUCCCAAAAAUAGUACCACAACGCAUACCUACACUGGACUGGCACCAAAUCUACCGGCCGGCGAAGCAAGAAAACCGGCACUCGAUCGUCGUCAGUGGUUGGGUGCAUUUCUUCACGAUAAACGUUUAAAACCAGUUUUGGCAUA